rnacentral:lncRNA from 1 species
UGAGGUAGCCUUGGCGACUUUCGAGACUACCCAGGCCGAGCACACCCAGCCCCCUCAGACCCAGGCAUUUCUGCGUCCUCUGGUUUGGAGGGAACCCAGGGGGCUGAGGUGAAGCAAGCCAGGACUGUUUCUCUGACUCUUCUGGAAGACGACCCGCUGCUCGGGCCGCCUCAUCACUGCGGGCCACGAGUGCCCUUCUUCAUUCCAGACAUGGUGCUUUGAACAAUUUGACUUGGAGGCAAGAUUGCGAUAUAGAAAAUGGGCCACUGUGGAGGAGAUAAGUAAAUGCUUUGUCGCUUCUAAGUGACAGGGGAAACUGAUCACGAUUGGUAUACUUCUGACAUGUAACUUUCUAUAUCUUUAGAAGAUCGUCAGGGAAAUAGAAAAAAAAAUCUGAAAUCUCCAAGUAGGUUCUACUUUGUGUGGUUCCAACUAAAUGAACUAAAUUUGUGUUUAAAGAUUGUAAGUCUACAUGUAAUGGUGAAAGCUGAAGGUUUUACACUGCACAGAAAUAGUGAUUUCCCCCCGUGGAGGGCAAGAAGACCGGAAUAGGAGGGGUGGGUGGGGGAAUCAAUGUGUAGGCCAAAUAUUUGAAAUUUCAGUGCAAUCUUCUUAGUCAUCACUUUCAUUUCUGUCUUCUAGGGAAAUCUGACACAGCUAGAAAGCAAUGGAAAACACUAAGAGUUGCAUCAGAUGUUGAAGAGGAACUGAUAUUAUGGGAUAAAAAAUGAUUCUUUAAGGGAGAUAACUGGUCAUUUAAAGGUAGCAGCCUUUUUGGGAAAAGCUAACAAGUGUUCCCGAGGCCAGCCUGUCUCUUGUUAGCAACAUUGGCCCUGUGUUAGAAGGAAGAGUGGAUGUGUUUUGAUGCUAUUCCUUUUCCUCUCAGCAUAAAUUUGCAAGCAUGUACUGUAAAUGAAUUUUCAUGUCUUUUCAGGAUGUUUCCCUAUAGAGCAGUUUCUAGAUUGACUCUGUGGAACAGUCUACAAUAGAUUUAAUAUGGUUAGGAUUUUGCCUAAUUCUGAUUGAAAAUAAACCCGAAGAAGGAACCAUAAUGGGAAAAUUGAAGACUGACUAGAGGCUUCUCGUUCCUGACUCUGGUCUGGAUGUAUUUGUACUAGAAGAUGAGUAUUUGCACUAUAAGAAUAGUAGCCCCAGUGGAGAAGGUGGGACAACUGGAAGCUCUGUUGCCAAGAAACAAGGAAAGGCCAAGGCUCUUGAUUUGAAAUUCAGUGUUAAUAAGAGAAGGCAGAAGGAAAGUUGGCAGACAUCAGUAGGUCUGGGUGAGGCCUGAGAGUCUGCAUUUUCAAUAAGCAUCUAGAUAGUGCCUGCUGUUUAUGGACUACACUUUGAAUAACAAGGACUUAGAAGAUGAAGAACAAAGAGCUUCAUAUAGAUCAGCAACACUCUUUGGUGUUCUUCCUCCUGUGUUCAAGUCAGUGAUUACAUAUCCUUUUUGGACCUCAGUUUCCAGUCCUGCCAAAUAAGGGACUAAGGCUGGAUCAUGUUUCAAGCUGUCCUGAAGAGACCUCUAACUCUGCAGAGAAGCCUCAGGACCCCACCCCCUCACCCCAAGAAAAGUGUGAGGCUAGUGUGAGGAGGAAGAGGAGCAGAGAAGCCAAUGGAGAAGGAACUAUUCUUUAGAAAGGUUUCAACGGUGACCUGCCAACAGCUCCCAAAUCUACAGGUUUCACCCAAUUUUUGACUCAUGACCUGUUGACAACCUCCGCCUGGAUAUGUCAUGGGUUUCCUCAAAACCCAACAUUUACAAAACUGAACAUCCUCAAAACAUCUUCCCUUUCUCACCAUUCCUCUCAGUUAACAGCAUCUCCAUAUACUCCAUCACUUGGGUGGAACAUAUCAGAGUCCACUUAGCUUUCUUCACAAGCCUUUAAUGGAGGAAAUAUUUAUUGAGUAUCUACCAUGUGCCACCCACUGUGCCAACCACUGUCCAUAUGAUGGUGAAUAACCAAGACAAGGGCUUGCUCUCAUGGAGCUUGCAGUCUUGUGGAGAAAAAGAUAAUAGAAAGUAAAGACAUACUUUACUUUCAGGUAGUGAGUAGUGCUGAAAAUAAAGCAGUGGGAGAGAGAGUGAUAGUGGAAGCUACUUUAGAAAAUGUAGCCAGAGAGGGCCUCUCAGAGAGACCACUUGAAUGAUGAGAAGGGCCGUGAAAAGAAGGGGGAUGAUAAAGGAAACUGCAAGUACCUGAGCCCUGAGACAGUUAAAAAAAACAUCUGAGAGACCAGUGUCUGGAGUUUGGGCUGAGCAGAGAUGAACUUGGCCAAACCACGCUGGACUUGUACAAUGUGGUAAAAAUGAUGGAUUUAACUGCACUUUAUCUUAAUAUAUCUCUUUUAUCAACACCUUCCUUUCCACGCUCCCAGCCGCAUUGUUUAUCAAGAACCUGUUACAUUUCACUUGACUAUUUACCUUCUCAACUUUUCCAACUCCUCUUCCUCAGGCACCUUUGCUGGCUCUUCUCUUUCUCUCUUUACCCGCUAUCUCUCAGCAGGCCUCAGACUUCUCUCCUGUCUCUCCCAAGAGUGCUACCCUAGACCAGCCUGCCUCAGAUUCUGUUUCGGCCUAGAAGGGCCAAACAUCUGGUUUGUCAUCUUCCUUGGGUUUUAGCACAUUAUCACACACACAUUAGGUCUUAGCACAUUAUUAGAACUCGCAAAUCCCUUAUUUGAUAGAAGAACUGAUUUCCUUUUUAACCCUAAUUCCUCUCCCCUACCCCCAUUUGAAUGUGUAUCUUUUCAUUUGGAUGUGUUCUUGUGGAAUGUCCAUUUUAUUUGUAUGCACUUAUUUUAAAUUCUGUAAAUGAUAUUAUAGUAUCCCUU